GCAACUCAGUUGGUUAGAGUGUGGCAUUGAUAACCCCAAGGUCGCAGGUUCAAUUCCCAUAUGGGACG